rnacentral:rRNA from 2 species
UGGGUAACCUGCCUGUAAGACUGGGAUAACUCCGGGAAACCGGGGCUAAUACCGGAUGCUUGAUUGAACCGCAUGGUUCAAUCAUAAAAGGUGGCUUUUAGCUACCACUUACAGAUGGACCCGCGGCGCAUUAGCUAGUUGGUGAGGUAACGGCUCACCAAGGCGACGAUGCGUAGCCGACCUGAGAGGGUGAUCGGCCACACUGGGACUGAGACACGGCCCAGACUCCUACGGGAGGCAGCAGUAGGGAAUCUUCCGCAAUGGACGAAAGUCUGACGGAGCAACGCCGCGUGAGUGAUGAAGGUUUUCGGAUCGUAAAACUCUGUUGUUAGGGAAGAACAAGUACCGUUCGAAUAGGGCGGUACCUUGACGGUACCUAACCAGAAAGCCACGGCUAACUACGUGCCAGCAGCCGCGGUAAUACGUAGGUGGCAAGCGUUGUCCGGAAUUAUUGGGCGUAAAGCGCGCGCAGGCGGUUUCUUAAGUCUGAUGUGAAAGCCCCCGGCUCAACCGGGGAGGGUCAUUGGAAACUGGGGAACUUGAGUGCAGAAGAGGAGAGUGGAAUUCCACGUGUAGCGGUGAAAUGCGUAGAGAUGUGGAGGAACACCAGUGGCGAAGGCGACUCUCUGGUCUGUAACUGACGCUGAGGCGCGAAAGCGUGGGGAGCGAACAGGAUUAGAUACCCUGGUAGUCCACGCCGUAAACGAUGAGUGCUAAGUGUUAGAGGGUUUCCGCCCUUUAGUGCUGCAGCAAACGCAUUAAGCACUCCGCCUGGGGAGUACGGUCGCAAGACUGAAACUCAAAGGAAUUGACGGGGGCCCGCACAAGCGGUGGAGCAUGUGGUUUAAUUCGAAGCAACGCGAAGAACCUUACCAGGUCUUGACAUCCUCUGACAACCCUAGAGAUAGGGCUUCCCCUUCGGGGGCAGAGUGACAGGUGGUGCAUGGUUGUCGUCAGCUCGUGUCGUGAGAUGUUGGGUUAAGUCCCGCAACGAGCGCAACCCUUGAUCUUAGUUGCCAGCAUUCAGUUGGGCACUCUAAGGUGACUGCCGGUGACAAACCGGAGGAAGGUGGGGAUGACGUCAAAUCAUCAUGCCCCUUAUGACCUGGGCUACACACGUGCUACAAUGGGCAGAACAAAGGGCAGCGAAGCCGCGAGGCUAAGCCAAUCCCACAAAUCUGUUCUCAGUUCGGAUCGCAGUCUGCAACUCGACUGCGUGAAGCUGGAAUCGUUAGUAAUCGCGGAUCAGCAUGCCGCGGUGAAUACGUUCC